rnacentral:tRNA from 1 species
AUUUAAAUAGCUUAAUUUAAAGCAUAAUAUUGAAGAUAUUAAGAUAAAUAAUUUAUUUUUUAAAUA